rfam:Fukomys damarensis contig93124, whole genome shotgun sequence.
AUUGCUUCUUGGACUUUUGGCUAAGAUCAAGUGUAGUACCUGUUCUUAUCAGAUUAAUAAAAAGGUCCAUGAUAAGUUAUUUGCUAGAUGGUCCCAGUGAGGUAAUAUUUUGUUUUGAUAAUCAUUAAUCUAGACAUAGGUUAAUUUAGGAAAGGUGUAAGUCAUUAUUUCUAAAAUUAGGACUCAGUGAGGCUUCA